UAAAGUGCGAAAAGUGAUGCGAUACGCAUGCUCUGCGAGUCAUCUAGUCUUUGAACGCAAAUUGCACUCUCGAGUCGAUCGAGAGUAUGUCCGAUUGAGAACCAGCACACUAUCUGAGCAGUUAGCUCGGGCGUCGACCACAAAUAUGUGGUUGUGACCUAUGCCUAUGGCACGCAGUGGUAGAGACUGUGGUCUUCAAGCUGCAAAGCUAUAGUUAAUCAUUUCAUUUUUAAUGGUCUCAAUUUGGGCAAGAGUACCCGCUGGACUUAA
rnacentral:misc_RNA from 1 species